CAUUUACUUUUUACUGCUUAUGAGCAUUGAGUGUGGUCAAGCUGUAUAGACCCUUAGGAGCCUGUCAUGCGGUUAAAAUCAAGAUUCACUUGCACGUUCACUCAUACAUGCUACUUCUACUCUGGAAGUACGCAUCCACAUACAUCCACUCAAUUCCAUCUCCAGAUUCACCCAAAAUUAUUCUACUCCUUUCUAGGAGAGAAUAGCCAAAAACAUUAUCCUAUCCCUGUUAUUCCCCGUGAAAUAAAUGCUUGAGAUAUUUUGGUUACUCCCACUUGCUGCAUUCCAGGAGGGUGAGUGCUUUGAAAAAAAAGAGUGAAUACGAGGAAAUAAAAAGGGACAAGUGCCCGGAACCUCGAAGGAAAGAAAAAGUGAGACAAGAGGUAAAAAUGGACAAGUGUCCGACAGUAGAAUUAGGGGUACAAGAUACCCAUA
rnacentral:lncRNA from 1 species